ensembl:lncRNA
GCUGCUCCUGUCUAUCAGCAUGUGUCCCUGCAUUCUUUGUACCCUUAGGGAUGGUUUAUCUUUUGAGCAGUGUGACAGAAUGCCUUCUGAGACUGGCCUUGGCAGAACUCUGUAGCCAAUAUACUGACAAAGAGAAGAUAGCAUGGAAAGUGAAGCCAUUCACAACUUACAUGGUCUGUCAAGCAGCUUUCAUCACCAGACACGGGAUCCUUUACAGCUGUUAUGGGAUCUUUCAAAUCACUAGCUUACAUUAAUUGCAUCUGAUGUUUUCCACACAGGAAUCUAUGGAUCUACAGCAGAAUCACUUCCUAUAUAAUCUGCCAAUAUUUUCACUUUUGGGAAAAUAUAAUUAUCAUACCUCCAAGCACACACAGGGCUGAUCUUUGGAACAUUUCUUCACUGUCAGAAGAACAGGCUGAAAACAGGGAGAAGAACUAACUGCUACUGCCAGCAUUCCUGAUGCUUUGUCUACUGAAAUUUCCUAGGACUGGUGGAGCUGCACUGGUAUCACAGAAGGCAGUUUUUGUUGAGAGAGGAAAAAAUGCACCACAGAAGAGCGUGUUGAUUUCCUUGGAUCAUCGACCUCUCCUCAGAGGGCAAAUGCUUCAAAUUUCUCAGUUAUCUAUGCU